rnacentral:lncRNA from 1 species
AUGAGAAAACUGUUUCUUGUGGAGACCUCUCCAUGGAAUUGUUGCAGUGGGGGGUUCAGUUUGCUAGCUAAGUUAGAGGGUUUUGUGUUUGCUUUUCCCUUUCAGUGCUUCUGCUGCCACGGCCGAAUCUUCCGCCGGGCUGGCCGACUAACCCCCCGCGGCUGUGCCUGUCGUUUCCGCUGGGUCCAUCCCGGCCCUGCGCCUCUGCCAGGCCCGGCCCCACUGCGUUCCCCCCGCGCUGCCGCGGGACACCGGACCCGGCCCUGCCCCACCACGCUGUGCUCCCCUGCCACCCGGCGCCGCUUCCCGUUGGUCCCGCUGGCCCCACACUGCUCCCGGAGGGACUGCAAGUACGAGAAAGCACCGCCGAAGUGCAAGCGCCGCUCCGUGCCAUGCGUUUCCUGUGUCCCAGCCAAAGCAGUUUGGUCGGCUCGGUUUCACCCCCUCUCCCCCGCGCCUCCACCCCGCUGUUCCCUGCCGAUGGAAAUCCCAGAAUCCUCGGAAGUUAGAGAAUUCCCACGUCUGUUACCUCUUAUCUUAACCUGUAUGUACCGGAUUUGUAGAAAGGUUAUAUGCCCACCAGCUCUAUUUCCUAACUGGUCUUCCCGACUUCCAAUCCCCCGAGGCGUUAACCCUUUAAAAGGACAGUCAAACCCCCGUCCUUUGUCCUUUCUUCUGGCUUUACCGUUGCAGAAUAAAUCUGUGAAUUGCAAAAUGGAAGAAAAGUCCCCCCUGCUCUUUUGCCUGACCCAUGGACUCGUGUUCAAAGUGAGACAGAGAGCUCUGAUCCGGGCCAGGACUCAAACAGUAGCCCUGGCAGGGCCCCUCCAGGCACCGAGCUGGAGAGAAGAAUUAUCUGAGCUAGCCUGGGAACCUCUGGCUGGAGUCAUGGAAGAGUGGUGUAAUCAAUCUGCCAGGCCUCUCCAUAUUUAUAUUUUGAUCAUUGCCCCUCAUACCACAGGGGCUUUACCCACUUGGCCCUGCUUGACUGCAGUGCAUAAACGUUUCAUAGUCAUGGAUGACAGGUCACAACCGGGAGAUUGUGUCCAUGGUUAA